ACUCCUACGGGAGGCAGCAGUGGGGAAUAUUGCACAAUGGGCGCAAGCCUGAUGCAGCCAUGCCGCGUGUAUGAAGAAGGCCUUCGGGUUGUAAAGUACUUUCAGCAGUGAGGAAGGUUCAUACGUUAAUAGCGUAUGGAUUUGACGUUAGCUGCAGAAGAAGCACCGGCUAACUCCGUGCCAGCAGCCGCGGUAAUACGGAGGGUGCGAGCGUUAAUCGGAAUUACUGGGCGUAAAGCGCAUGCAGGCGGCCUGUUAAGUCAGAUGUGAAAGCCCGGGGCUUAACCUCGGAAUUGCAUUUGAAACUGGCAGGCUAGAGUCUUGUAGAGGGGGUAGAAUUUCAGGUGUAGCGGUGAAAUGCGUAGAGAUCUGAAGGAAUACCAGUGGCGAAGGCGGCCCCCUGGACAAAGACUGACGCUCAGAUGCGAAAGCGUGGGGAGCAAACAGGAUUAGAU
rnacentral:rRNA from 1 species